UCCUCCUGUCACUUCUCCAAGUUGGACUGUCACAAGAGUGGAAAGGUGACACUCCACGAGAGGUGACAGCGCAGGAAGGUUCGUGUGUACAGAUUCCAUGUCAUUACAGUUAUCCAUCGUGUCUGGAAAACCAACCACGAGGUGGAGUCUGGUUUAAUAACAGGAAAGCGGGAACAUCAUCUAUAGCCUUUCACUCCAAGGAUCACAAUCACGAGUUA